UCAAGUCUUGAAAUAGGGGCUUUUAUUUAGAAGGAUUUCUUAUUACCAUACCGGAAAUGACGCCAUCGACAUGCUCCCCGAGGUCAAAAGGUACUCUAAAGUCCUGCCAUUGACUGCAUUGUCGUUGUUGCCACACGAGCAGGACAAUAUGAAUCCACUCAGUUCAGAGAAGGAAACAUUGAUGGAUGAAAUCGAAAAGAGUUUAUGGAAUUUAACUGAGGACAAUUUACGCUACCUGUGUGAACGGUGUGGAAUGGAUGGCUCUGAAAUUAAAGGGAUGAAUCAUCGCUUAUUAAGGCGUAAAGUCAUGGAGGAAAUGUGGGACAAUACGGAGUCAAUGAAAUCAGAGGAGCAGGGAAUGUCUUGGUUAGUCCAACUGAAAGAGGACAUCAGGAGGACACAGGAGGAGGGUAGCAGUGCACUCAUGAGUCCCGGCCAAUCAGAUGACGUAGACCGGAAUGAAGAACACAACAAGGGGGACAGGGAUUGGUUGCUAGCAACGGACUGACAGCGGAACCCUUGCAUCCCAGCCAAUGUGAUGAUGAUGCUGUAGACUGCGAUGAAGAUUGGAAUGAAGAGGGAGGAGCUGGGUUGCUUAGCAAUGGACUGGAGGCGGAGUCAGCUCCAGAGAGCCACAGUUACGACAAGCCUCCACCACCCCCCUCCCCUCUCCCAGAGUCUCCGGGUCGUGCCUCUCCCAGCAGGGCAGUAUUGUGUGGUCUGAAGAGGGUGUCUGUACGGCUCGACGACUGCAGGAAGACACCAAGGCAGAGUAGCCAUAUAAUACACAAGACAACACAGACGGGAGAGAAACCCCACAGCUGGUCUAAUGCUGAACAACACAAAACCCUCUCAGGAGACAGGCCUGGCUCCCACAUCUGUGAUCACUGUGGGAAGAAUUUUGUCACAGCUACGAAUCUGAAAACACAUUUACUGUGUCUGUCUGGA